rnacentral:rRNA from 1 species
AACGAACGCUGGCGGCAGGCCUAACACAUGCAAGUCGAGCGCACUCUUCGGAGUGAGCGGCGGACGGGUUAGUAACGCGUGGGAACGUACCCAGAUCUAAGGAAUAGCCACUGGAAACGGUGAGUAAUACCUUAUACGCCCUUCGGGGGAAAGAUUUAUCGGAUUUGGAUCGGCCCGCGUUAGAUUAGAUAGUUGGUGGGGUAACGGCCUACCAAGUCUACGAUCUAUAGCUGGUUUUAGAGGAUGAUCAGCAACACUGGGACUGAGACACGGCCCAGACUCCUACGGGAGGCAGCAGUGGGGAAUCUUGGACAAUGGGCGCAAGCCUGAUCCAGCCAUGCCGCGUGAGUGAUGAAGGCCUUAGGGUCGUAAAGCUCUUUCGCCUGUGAUGAUAAUGACAGUAGCAGGUAAAGAAACCCCGGCUAACUCCGUG